GGCUCAGGAUGAACGCUGGCGGCGUGCUUAACACAUGCAAGUCGAACGAACCUUCGGGUUAGUGGCGGACGGGUGAGUAACGCGUGAGAAUCUGCCCUCAGGAGGGGGAUAACGGUUGGAAACGACCGCUAAUACCCCAUAUGCCGAUAGGUGAAAUGAAUUUCGCCUGAGGAUGAGCUCGCGUCUGAUUAGCUUGUUGGUGAGGUAAUGGCUCACCAAGGCUUCGAUCAGUAGCUGGUCUGAGAGGAUGAUCAGCCACACUGGGACUGAGACACGGCCCAGACUCCUACGGGAGGCAGCAGUGGGGAAUUUUCCGCAAUGGGCGAAAGCCUGACGGAGCAACGCCGCGUGAGGGACGAAGGCCUCUGGGCUGUAAACCUCUUUUCUCAAGGAAGAAGAUAUGACGGUACUUGAGGAAUAAGCCACGGCUAAUUCCGUGCCAGCAGCCGCGGUAAUACGGGAGUGGCAAGCGUUAUCCGGAAUUAUUGGGCGUAAAGCGUCCGCAGGCGGCCUUUCAAGUCUGCUGUUAAAGCGUGGAGCUUAACUCCAUUAUGGCAGUGGAAACUGAUCGGCUUGAGUAUGGUAGGGGCAGAGGGAAUUCCCGGUGUAGCGGUGAAAUGCGUAGAUAUCGGGAAGAACACCAGUGGCGAAGGCGCUCUGCUGGGCCAUUACUGACGCUCAUGGACGAAAGCCAGGGGAGCGAAAGGGAUUAGAUACCCCUGUAGUCCUGGCCGUAAACGAUGAACACUAGGUGUCGGGGGAAUCGACCCCUUCGGUGUCGUAGCUAACGCGUUAAGUGUUCCGCCUGGGGAGUACGCACGCAAGUGUGAAACUCAAAGGAAUUGACGGGGGCCCGCACAAGCGGUGGAGUAUGUGGUUUAAUUCGAUGCAACGCGAAGAACCUUACCAGGGUUUGACAUCCUGAGAACCUCUUAGAAAUUAGAGGGUGCCUUCGGGAAUUCAGUGACAGGUGGUGCAUGGCUGUCGUCAGCUCGUGUCGUGAGAUGUUGGGUUAAGUCCCGCAACGAGCGCAACCCACGUUUUUAGUUGCCAGCAUUUAGUUGGGCACUCUAGAAAGACCGCCGGUGAUAAACCGGAGGAAGGUGUGGAUGACGUCAAGUCAUCAUGCCCCUUACACCCUGGGCUACACACGUACUACAAUGCUACGGACAAAGGGCAGCAAACUCGCGAGAGCUAGCAAAUCCCAUAAACCGUGGCUCAGUUCAGAUCGUAGGCUGCAACUCGCCUACGUGAAGUAGGAAUCGCUAGUAAUCGCAGGUCAGCAUACUGCGGUGAAUACGUUCCCGGGCCUUGUACACACCGCCCGUCACACCAUGGAAGUUGGCCAUGCCCGAAGUCGUUACUCCAACCCUUGUGGAGGAGGACGCCGAAGGUGGGGCUAAUGACUGGGGUGAAGUCGUAACAAGGUAGCCGUACCGGAAGGUGCGGCUGGAUCACCUCCUAACAGGGAGACAACAAAAUGUAAAUAUUAAUUUUGUCACCUUAGGUCGAUCGGUAUCUCAGAUUCUUAUUUUUUAAGAAUUUCAGUUUCUAAGUUUUUUCUAGGUCACACCCAUCACUUUUUCCUGGGCCAUUAGCUCAGGUGGUUAGAGCGCACCCCUGAUAAGGGUGAGGUCCCUGGUUCAAGUCCAGGAUGGCCCAUAUCUCUAUGUUGGGGGUAUAGCUCAGUUGGUAGAGCGCCUGCUUUGCAAGCAGGAUGUCAGCGGUUCGAGUCCGCUUACCUCCACUGAAUACCACCUCUUACAUAUUUAAAGAGGGAAAUUGUUUUGAGUCGUGUCCUAAUUUGCUCUGAGCGAAUCUAGCUUCCUAUUUUAUUCAAUAAAUAAGAUGCUGGACUCAUUGAAUUUUUUUUCAUUGUUUUCAGAGAACCUUGACAACUGCAUAGAUUAUUUUUGAAGACAAUAAGCAUCUUUAAUGAUGCAGAUUUAUUAUUUGUGCGAAUGCAUUAAAUAGCAAUUCUAUUAAGCUGAUGCUUCAAUUAUUGAAGUUAUUGGUCAAGCUACAAAGGGCUCACGGAGGAUACCUAGGCACACAGAGGCGAUGAAGGACGUGGUUACCUGCGAUAAGUCUCGGGGAGUUGGAAGCACACUUUGAUCCGGGAAUUUCCGAAUGGGGCAACCCCUUGAACGACCAACUGAAUAUAUAGGUUGGUGCGAGCUAACCCAGCGAACUGAAACAUCUUAGUAGCUGGAGGAAGAGAAAGUAAAUAACGACUCCCUCAGUAGCGGCGAGCGAACGGGGAAUAGCCCAAACCGAUAGUCUUGACUAUCGGGGUUGUGGGACAGCAAUAUGGAUCAACAAUUCUAGAAGAAACGUUUGAAUGGCGUGCCAUAGAGGGUGAAAGCCCCGUAAUUGAAAGAUGAGUUGACCUAGCUGUAUCCCGAGUAGCACGGAGCACGUGGAAUUCCGUGUGAAUCUGCGAGGACCACCUCGUAAGGCUAAGUACUACUGUGUGACCGAUAGUGAAACAGUACCGCGAGGGAAAGGUGAAAAGAACCCCGGGAGGGGAGUGAAAUAGAACAUGAAACCGUGAGCUUACAAGCAAUGGGAGCCCGACUAAUCGGGUGACCGUGUGCCUGUUGAAGAAUGAGCCGGCGACUUAUAGGCACUGGCGGGUUAAACCGGAAAUGGUGGAGCCACAGCGAAAGCGAGUCUUAAUAGGGCGUUUGUCAGUGUUUAUAGACCCGAACCCUGGUGAUCUAACCAUGGCCAGGAUGAAGCUUGGGUGAUACCAAGUGGAGGUCCGAACCGACUGAAGUUGAAAAUUCAGCGGAUGAGCUGUGGUUAGGGGUGAAAUGCCAAUCGAACCAGGAGCUAGCUGGUUCUCCCCGAAAUACGUUGAGGCGUAGCGUCUAGUGCUCCAGCAGGGGGGUAAAGCAACCAUUUCGGUGCGGGCUGCGAAAGCGGUACCAAAUCGAUAUGAACUCUGAAUACCCUGUGUGUAACUAGGCAGUCAGACUGUGGGGGAUAAGCUCCAUAGUCAAGAGGGAAACAGCCCAGACCGCCAGCUAAGGUCCCAAAAUUAACGCUAAGUGAUAAAGGAGGUGGGAUUGCCCAGACAACCAGGAGGUUUGCCUAGAAGCAGCCAUCCUCAAAGGAGUGCGUAAUAGCUCACUGGUCGAGCGAUCCUGCGCCGAAAAUGAAUGGGGCUAAGCGUUAUACCGAAGCUGCGGAUAAAUUUAUUUAUGGUAGGGGAGCGUUCUAUGUUGGGUGAAGCGUUAGCGUAAGCGGACGUGGACGGCAUAGAAGUGAGAAUGUCGGCUUGAGUAGCGAAAACAUGGGUGAGAAUCCCAUGCCCCGAAACCCUAAGGGUUCCUCCGGCAGGCUCGUCCGCGGAGGGUUAGUCUGGACCUAAGGCGAGGCCGAAAGGCGUAGUCGAUGGAUAACAGGUCAAUAUUCCUGUACCAGUUAUGUUUUGGGAAGGGGGACGGAGAAGGCUAGCCAGGCCAGAUGUUGGUUACUGGUUCAAGCGUUCAAGGCUUUGAGAGAUGGAGAAAACAUCUCGAGCUGAGGCGUGAGUACGAGCUGCUACGGCAGCGAAGUUGGUGAUGUCAUGCUUCCAAGAAAAGCCCUAUACCCGUUAAGACAUAAAUGCCAGUACCCGAAACCGACACAGGUGGGGUGGUAGAGAAUACCGAGGGGCGCGAGAUAACUCUCUCUAAGGAACUCGGCAAAAUGGCCCCGUAACUUCGGGAGAAGGGGUGCCAGCGAGAGCUGGUCGCAGUGAAGAGGCGCAAGCGACUGUUUACCAAAAACACAGGUCUCCGCUAAGUCGCAAGACGAUGUAUGGGGGCUGACACCUGCCCAGUGCCGGAAGGUUAAGGAAGCUGGUUAGCUUUUAGCAAAGCUAGCGACUGAAGCCCCGGUGAACGGCGGCCGUAACUAUAACGGUCCUAAGGUAGCGAAAUUCCUUGUCGGGUAAGUUCCGACCCGCACGAAAGGUGUAACGAUUUGCGCGCUGUCUCGGAGAGAGGCUCGGCGAAAUAGAAUUGUCUGUGAAGAUGCGGACUACAUACACCCGGACAGAAAGACCCUAUGAAGCUUUACUGUAGUUUGAUAUUGUGCUCGGGCUCUAAUUGCGCAGAAUAGGUGGGAGACGUUGAAAUAGUGCUUGUGGGCAUUAUUGAGUCAUCGGUGAGAUACCACUCUAUUAGAGCUAGGGUUCUAACGCUUACCCGUUAUCCGGGAAGCGGACAGUAUCUGAUGGGCAGUUUGACUGGGGCGGUCGCCUCCUAAAAGGUAACGGAGGCGCACAAAGGUUCCCUCAGGCUGGUUGGAAAUCAGUCGUUGAGUGCAAAAGCAGAAGGGAGCUUGACUGUGAGACCUACAAGUCGAACAGGGACGAAAGUCGGUUUUAGUGAUCCGACGGUUCUGCGUGGAAGGGCCGUCGCUCAACGGAUAAAAGUUACUCUAGGGAUAACAGGCUGAUCUCCCCCAAGAGUUCACAUCGACGGGGAGGUUUGGCACCUCGAUGUCGGCUCAUCGCAACCUGGGGCUGAAGUCGGUCCCAAGGGUUGGGCUGUUCGCCCAUUAAAGCGGUACGCGAGCUGGGUUCAGAACGUCGUGAGACAGUUCGGUCCAUAUCCGGUGUAUGCGCAGGAAUAUUGAGAGGAUUUCUCCCUAGUACGAGAGGACCGGGAGGAACGCACCUCUGGUGUGCCAGUUAUCGUGCCAACGGUAAACGCUGGGUAGCCAUGUGCGGAGUGGAUAACCGCUGAAAGCAUCUAAGUGGGAAGCCCACCUCAAGAUGAGUAUUGCCAUGGCUUAAGCCAGUAAGGUCACGGGAAGAACACCCGUUGAUAGGCUCUACGUGGAAGCUUGGUAACAAGUGCAGCGGAGGAGUACUAAUAGACCGAGGGCUUGACCAAAUAAACUUAAUUUAUUUUCUUUAAUUUAUAUAAUUUUCUAUGCAGUUCUCAAGGUUCACACUAUCCUGGUGUUCAUGGCGAUGUGGAACCACUCCGAUCCAUCUCGAACUCGGUUGUGAAACGCAUCAGCGGCGAAAAUAUUUAGGGGGUAGCCCCUUGAGAAAAUAGCUCAAUGCC
rnacentral:rRNA from 1 species